UAUGAUACAGCAUACCUACAACAUACAUA
rnacentral:sRNA from 1 species